CGAUAAACGAAUAUACCAAAAAGUUGUGUGAAUUUGAAGAUCUCAGACAAACUUUAAGAUGCUGACAAAAAUACUUUUAGCAGUGUGUUUCUCUGUUGUUGCAUCAGAUACACUUGACUGCACUGGAAGACAUAGAUACAGUUCCCGGGGUACUGGAUAUUAUCCGGCUGACGACCCAAUAGAAGGCGGAUUUUUCGACAGGCUUGGUCAUCCAUUACAUACCCUUCAAGAUUUUCUCGAAGGUAAAGCUCAAUGGGUCAGUGUGGCAAUGGAUAGAUAUGCGCAUAUUCUUUAUGGAAAAAGUGUUUGUAUCCCACAGUUAAACCAUAAGUAUAAUAGAGUCAUUCCCUUCAAGGUAGUAGACACGGGAUCGGCGUUUGAUCAUAAAGGAUAUGGAAGAAUUGAUAUAUGCACCCGAUCUCAGCAUGAUUCAUACGACAACACAAUCAAUGGGCCUUUAACGUUGGUAUUUCGUAUUUGAUUUAUUAAAUAAAGGUACAUGAAAGAUCA